GUCGACAGUUUAACUGCAGGUCGUGCGUUACGCGUGCCGUUUUUCGGGCGUAAAAAGGAUUCUUGCGAUGUUUUUACUAAUUUUUUUCUUUUCGUUUUCGAUAACGAUCGUUAUACGGCUUGGACAUUUUAACGUGCGGGCUCGCGCGAAAUCGUUUCGGUAUGCGUAUGAGAAUAAAAAUAAUUUUUAGUGCAGUUCUUCGGUAUAAAUUAAAAUAUGUUUUUUUUCCACGCGCGAUUUUUAUACGGAAAUUGGUGAGCGCCGAUUUUAUUGCGUAUAUUUUUGUGUACAUUAAACAAUGUCCGGUAAAGUUUCGGUGGCGAAUUGCCUCGCG